AUGCUACAAUCUUGGACAAAACCCUUGAGACCAUUCCAGCCAAUAUUACAAAGUUAUUGAACAUUGACAAAACACACUUUGUCUCCCCCUCCCCCCCAGUUCAAUGUUGUGAACAACGCCGAAACAACUUUUGGUACUAUACCAUGAUACAAGCUCAAGAUUGAGUUAUCAUGCACAAUUAAAUUCAGUGUGUUUCAGACAAUCUUGGACAAAACCCUUGAGACCAUUCCAGCUAAUAUUACAAAGUUAUUGAACAUUGACAAAACAAACUUUGUCUCCCCCUCCCCCCCAGUUCAAUGUUGUGAACAACGCCGAAACAACUUUUGGUAAUAUACCAUGAUACAAGCUCAACAUUGAGUUGGGGGAGCGGGGGUUUAAGAAUGGCAACAUGAUUCAACAAGGAGUUUAUCAUAAAAAUA